AAUCUUCCUCCUUCCUCCUUCGCGCCUCCGGCACCAGUACUGGCACUCCAACGGCAGCAACCCACUAGCACUAUCGUCUUCACUCUUCAGUAAGCAAAUUUUUUUUUGGUUGUGUUAAUCUGUUGACCUAAUUUUGAGUUUUAAUCUCUUGAAGAAUCCAAACUUGGUAAGAUGCAUUUAGCCAAAGGUAGGAGUGGAAGCUCUUGGUAGGGUCAAACCAACUGGCGAAGAACAAGAAGCCAACGAUUGCUGGGUUGAUCUUUUCUGCUGGUAAUGUAGAGAGGCUUCGUAAUUUUGAGAGGCUAUCAGAAGAAGAAAUUGGUUUAUCUUGAUCCUGUUCGGGUUUAGAAUAUCUCCUUACUAAUCCAGGAUAUGAUGAAUGGUUAUCAAUAUCUGCAGAACUCUGUGGUGGGAUGCAUAUUUCAAUUACACGUGAAGCCAAGGCAUUUAGUCUUAACUCCCAAUACAUCUAAAUUUGAAAGAUAUGUGGAAGGCAAUCCAGUGAUCGACCAAUAUCCAGACCACAAUAAUAGAGUCAGCUGUGUGGCAACUAAAGGUGGGGAAGUUGGUCAUUGUGAGAAAUAAGUUAGGUACUAUCAGCAACUAAGUAAGGGAGUUUAGAUGUACUUUUAAAUGAUGUACACUUUCCUGAGAGACUAUAGGAAUGACAGAUUUUGAUUGUAUAUUGAUGAAUGAAUUCUCUUCAAGCA